GGGAAUCUGCCCUUCGGUUGGGAAUAACACAGAGAAAUUUGUGCUAAUACCUUAUAAUGUCUUCGGACCAAAGAUUUAUCGCCGAGGGAUGAGCCCGCGUAGGAUUAGCUAGUUGGUGGGGUAAUGGCCUACCAAGGCGACGAUCCUUAGCUGGUCUGAGAGGAUGAUCAGCCACACUGGGACUGAGACACGGCCCAGACUCCUACGGGAGGCAGCAGUGGGGAAUAUUGGACAAUGGGCGAAAGCCUGAUCCAGCAAUGCCGCGUGAGUGAUGAAGGCCUUAGGGUUGUAAAGCUCUUUUACCAGGGAUGAUAAUGACAGUACCUGGAGAAUAAGCUCCGGCUAACUCCGUGCCAGCAGCCGCGGUAAUACGGAGGGAGCUAGCGUUGUUCGGAAUUACUGGGCGUAAAGCGCGCGUAGGCGGCUGUUCAAGUCAGAGGUGAAAGCCCGGGGCUCAACCCCGGAACUGCCUUUGAAACUAGAUAGCUAGAAUCAUGGAGAGGUCAGUGGAAUUCCGAGU
rnacentral:rRNA from 1 species